UUUUUUUCUUUUGUUGAUUUUGUUUGUGUUAUUUUUGCUAGUUUCUUUGUUUAUUGUUAAUUUGUAUUUGUAUUUAUUUUUUGUUUGUUUGGCCUCGUGGCGGGGUGUGAGAAUGGAGGCUCACCCCAGUGGGUGGGAUUCCUCUCUUUCACUCCGUCACGGAGUAAGGUGUGCGCCUGUAGACGAUGCAUCAGUGGAAGAUGUACUCGUUGCGAUUGGUGAACAAAUUGGAUUUGAAAAAAUAGUUUCUGCCUCGCGCAUGAAUAAGAAAUUGUGAUCUUCGUGAAGGAACAGUGUUUGGUUGGUCGACUGAUUGAGAGCGGAGUGUGGGUCGGAGGAACCUGCGGCUGGUCAUGGAGUUUCUGCCCUUCGGUAGUUUGAGAAAUUAUCUUUCUAAAAACAAACCACAUGAAGCUUCUGCUGUACGCCUCUCAGAUCUGUAAGGGGAUGGACUAUCUGGCGUCCAGGCGUUACGUCCAUCGAGAUCUGGCCACCAGGAACAUUCUUGUGGAGAGUGAGUUUCGAGUGAAGAUCGGAGACUUCGGCCUGACUAAAGUUCUUCCUCAGGAUAAGGAGUAUUACACGGUCCGAGAGCCAUCUUCUGGUGAGGAGAUCCACAGGCGUCCAGGUACGCGCCGGAGUCUCUGACUGAGAGUAAGUUCAGCGUGGCGUCAGACGUCAAAAGCUGCAGUCCUCCAGCCGUGUUUCUGGAGCAGAUGGGCGAGGACAAGCAGGGUCAGAUGAUCUCCUGCAGCGAGGCUAUCGUCUGCCGGCUCCCGAGGGCUGUCCUGCGCAGGUCCAGCUGCUGAUGAAGGAGUGCUGGGACACAGAGCCGGCCGAUCGACCCUCAUUCACAGAUCUCACCGAGAGACUCGAGUCCAUCCAGAGCAUCUGACCAACAUCAGUGUCCCGACGCUCCACACGGAGACAGGGAACUCUGGGAUUCCGUUUGUUCUUCCGCUUUAUCAGGGGUUUCAAACGGUUUAAGAGCCAAGGAAGCAGAAAUAUGAGGACGCCCUUAGGAGGCUCUGUGAUGUCCAGAUGUGGAAAACACGGAAUCCAUUCAUAAAAAAAGAAUUUAACACGGAACGUCACGGAAUUGAAAGUUAAGAUGAAUGUGUCAAAAAUAGGUCAUUCAGUUUCUACCAAAUUGCGAUAUGGACUAGUAUCUGUAAAUAUUAAGCCACAGAAAGAGUAUUUCUAUAUGAAUCGUGUCUGCGUGAAUGAACCAGUUUCGUUUACUACACACUGAAUUUGACGACAUUGUGACAGAAAUAUAUUUAUAUUGUUCAGUAGAAUGUACUUACUACAACUGCUACUAUUAAAAUUAAAACAUUAUUUUUUUAAAGAAUAAUUGAUUAAGAGAAAAAAAAACAUUCCAUAAGGUUUUUGUGCAUUCAAAUAAUUAGAUGAAACUGAAUUUGGUAACUAUAAAAUAUAGGGUGCAUUUUAUAGGGUCCUAAAUGUAAUUUUUGUUAAACUUUGAAUAAAUGAAUGUAAAAAUA